AACGAACGCUGGCGGCAUGCCUAACACAUGCAAGUCGAACGAGACCUUCGGGUCUAGUGGCGCACGGGUGCGUAACGCGUGGGAACCUGCCCUUAGGUUCGGAAUAACUCCCCGAAAGGGGUGCUAAUACCGGAUAAUGUCUUCGGACCAAAGAUUUAUCGCCGUUGGAUGGGCCCGCGUUGGAUUAGCUAGUUGGUAGGGUAAAAGCCUACCAAGGCGACGAUCCAUAGCUGGUCUGAGAGGAUGAUCAGCCACACUGGGACUGAGACACGGCCCAGACUCCUACGGGAGGCAGCAGUGGGGAAUAUUGGACAAUGGGCGAAAGCCUGAACCAGCAAUGCCGCGUGAGUGAUGAAGGCCUUAGGGUUGUAAAGCUCUUUUACCCGGGAUGAUAAUGACAGUACCGGGAGAAUAAGCUCCGGCUAACUCCGUG
rnacentral:rRNA from 1 species